rnacentral:lncRNA from 1 species
GGGUUAUCUGUGCCCUCUGAUCUCAGUGCAACAGCUUUUGCCAGUGGGGCGCAGCAGCCCGAAGAAAGAAGGCAAAGGAAUGAGGAUUCCUUUGCAUGCUCCAUCACAGAGUGACCUCCAGGAUCCUAGGGCCACUCCUGUCUGCUCCCUGUCCGGCUCCUGUCAUUAGGCUUCAUGCCCUCAACCAGAAAGAGUUCGCUAUCUGGGAGGAAGGAGUUCUAGGUAUCAUAGACUGCUGUGGUCUUGCUGGAGACAACGCCAUCCCUGAGAUAAAGCCUACCAAAAUGGCAAAAGAACCCUAUGAAGCUAAGGAAACUAGGUCAAAGAGAUUCAUUCUCACAAGUUUCCACAGCAAGGAAGAGCUCAGUUCAGCCCUGUUCCACGCUCAUGGAUUCAUGGCACACAGAGGAGUAAUUAAAUAGACCCAAACUCUAUUUCAUCUUCCGGAGAAGAGGAUGAUAAUGAACCCUUGUUGCAGAAGCCCCAAGGUAUGAGCUUCAGUAAUGGACCGGGUUUCGACGUGGCCUUUAUUCCCCUCAGCCACCCCCCAGGUUAAAACCCUGGACCCCUUGGUAGAGCCCUUCCGCUACCACAGCGGCAGGAGAAAGCCAUGGCCAGGGGCGAGAGGCUGCAUUUUUGCGACGCUGUAAUCUUCUCUGGCUCUAACCAAUUCUUUUCUAAAGCCUGACAGGGCUUAGUGAGUGGGCUAAUCUAUUUAUAAACUUUGUCUUGGCAUCCAAAGGCUCAUAUUGACAACGCAACUCUGAUCCUGGACGGCCCUCAGCCCUGUGACCAGGCUGAGGGUCAAAACAGGGCACCCGCACUCUUCCCCCACCUCCUUUGCUUCUGGAAGAAGUGUUUUGAAAAAAGAAAGAAAAAAAGAAAAGGCAGCUUUGAGGAAGCCAGGGUCAGCUGGGUGCUAGCAAGGUAGGGUAAACUGCCCCGCGCCAGUUCCCAGGGGAGCCUUUGAUGAGGAUGGAGCCUCUCCAUCCUCGGCUCCGGGCUGGGCGAAGUCAUCCUAAUUGGACACCACGUAGGUGUGCCAGGCUUUCUUGAGGAAAGAGGGGGAAUUUUGCUUCUCUUCCGGAGCGAAAUGUCCUAGCCCUGAAAUAUGCUAAUGCUCCCAUUAGAUAACAAUUGCCUAGAGGAAGGGAUGAAAGGCUGAAAGAAAAAGGGGGAAUGGAGUCUCCAGCGAAUUUUUCUCUACUUUCCUCCUGGGAGUUAUUUACUGAUCUUUUCCGGGGUGGGCAGGCACCCAAGGCUCGGACAGGGUUUUUUUCUACCCUUCUCUCGAAGCUUUGUCUCAUGCACUAUGACAAGGCACAAAAGAGCCAUAUUAGAAGCAAAAAGUAUUUCCUAGAGGAAGUCUUUAUCUCUCCGGGAUAAUUUCCAUAAUCGUUUCCAUAUUCAGUGGUCUAUGUAUAUGUAUGUUCAUUUGCAUAAUUUAUGCAGUUUGUUCAAAGGUAUUUAAACUUAAUAAAAUAAUUAUCUUUUUCA